AUACUCGCUUCGCCGGUACAUAUACUAAAGUUGGAACGAUAGAGAGAAGAUUAGCGUGGCCCCUGCGCAAGGAUGACACGCAAAAUCGUAAAGCGUACAGUUGGUGC